rnacentral:rRNA from 1 species
AAUGAACGCUGGCGGCGUGCCUAACACAUGCAAGUCGCACGAGAACGUUUCAGCUUGCUGAGACUAGUAAAGUGGCGCACGGGUGAGUAACGCGUGGGUAAUCUACCUCCGAAUUGGGGAUAACAUUGCGAAAGCGGUGCUAAUACCGAAUAAUAUCCUCAGGACUCCGGUCUUGGAGAUCGAAGGUGGCCUCUACAUGUAAGCUACCGUUUAGAGAUGAGCCCGCGUACCAUUAUCUUGUUGGUAGGGUAAUGGCCUACCAAGGCUUCGAUGGUUAGCUGGUCUGAGAGGAUGAUCAGCCACACUGGAACUGACACACGGUCCAGACUCCUACGGGAGGCAGCAGUGAGGAAUUUUGCGCAAUGGGGGAAACCCUGACGCAGCAACGCCGCGUGAGUGAUGAAGGCCUUCGGGUCGUAAAGCUCUGUCAAGUGGGAAGAAACUGCCCUAUGCAAAUACCAUAGGGUAUUGACGGUACCACUGAAGGAAGCACCGGCUAACUCCGUGCCAGCCGCCGCUGUAACAC